rnacentral:lncRNA from 11 species
GUUUCCUGCUUUGUCAAAUUACUUUGCUUUUACCUGAGGCAUCAUUUGGACAGCUAAAACUCCGACAGGGGAAGAGCCCCAAGAUAUGGUUAUUAUCAUGGUUUUCUAUGGGAUCCAAUGGUGCCCUUAUGGUGGGAAAAACAGUCUAUCUUCAGGAAUAUCUUCAGAAGAAGAAAAAUUCAAAAGAUCAAGGAAGAUUUCCUUUCUCCUGCAGUCCCCACCUCUGUCUUUCCACCAGAAACUGUUCUAGAAGGUUUUCUAGCUCAACAGAGCAGAUAUUGAAGUUGCUAAGGGGCUCCACUUAUGUAACAGGGGAACUGGCUCUUCCAGGAUUGUCUUGUAUAUCUUUCCUGAAGUCAACAUUUCAAUAAAUUACACAAUUUGCUUUAUAAACUUCCUUCCAAAUCUUUUGAGUAUUCAAAAUUUUGGCUGCAGAUACAAAACUGCAAGAUUGUAAAGAGGAGACCCAAGGUCCCUUGAA